CCCUAAUGAGAAACUCCACCAUGAAAAAGUAUGGCAUCUUCACUCUUCACCACCACACCCAAGCUGACCUCCCUUCUCUAACCAGAACAAGUGAGUGCUGCCAACAUCUGGCAUACUAGAAUUGAUCUACUGGGCACUGCAGCCUAGUGGCUAAAAGUCCUGCCACUUACUAACCAUGGGACCUUGGACAUGUUCUUCAACUGCUGUGUGUUAUGAGGAUUAAAUGAUUUAAUCCAUAAAAAAUGCUUGAAGAAUGCCAACAUGCACAAUGUUGCUCCAACAGCCAAGUUAUGAUCUUGGAAGAGUUUGCUGUCCAGUGACUUCCUGAUGGCAUUCAAGGUUGGCAUAGAACGCUACCUGGCCCAUGGGUUACUCGCCAUCUAAAACCAAAAAUCAGGACAUAUUUAUAUCUUAUUGCUAUGUCCAAAGGUUGAUUUUUCUUCACUUGGUGAGCAUCUUCUGUUUGGCAUUUCCACAUGUAAUAAGUUAAGAACUGAUUUGAGAAGAUAUCCAAAAAAUGCAAUUGUAUAAAUCCAAAUAAAAAAUUUAAAUAAUCAUCCCAAGAUGGCUGUGGUGAUAGCACGAUGAACAAAGGUCUGUUGUAAGUCACAGAGUCAACCUGGGUAAAACCACAGGACAAGGAACAUCCUCAUGGGACACCAGGGUGGGGAGAAAGAGCCUCUCUGCAAGCAUUUGUAUGCAAUACUAUUACUAACAAUUUCUCAUGAAUAAGCGCACUCGAUCCUCACCAUCCUCAGGGAUAGAUGCUAUCUUUCUCUCUUUCUCAAUGGUGAAACUGAAGCUCAGAGAAAUGAAAGGACUCCCCUGACAACACUGCAUGUGAGUGUAAAUGGAGGCAAGUAGCUUUGGCUGACUUUGGAUGAUGCACUUGUCCAUCUGCUCUGAGAUUUCAAAAUUGUUAUUGGCGUUUCUGUCAACAAGAUGUCCAAGCAAUACUAACGCUUAAGCACCAUUCAUGUGAGUGACCACGACAAAAGGAAGGGGGGAGAAGCCGACAAGGUUAUCACAAGGUUAUAUGGCUGUUCACAAAACAACGCAUGUGAGUUUCUUUCAAAACAGGUCAUUUAAUAGAUUUAUACAUAUUCAGAAGAAAUGUGCAGGUUAGACAUGGCAAACCUUGUUUCCUGGAGACUUUGAAGCAGUCUGCAAUUCUCCCACAACAUUAACCUGAGCAUUCUUGUAAAUAAUUAACCCACCUGACAAGAGACAAAUAUAAUGGGCAGGUCUUUUAUUAAGUUAAUAGUAUUGCAGCCGGGCACAAUGACUCACACCUGUAAUCCCAGCACUUUUGGAGGCCAAGGUGGGAGGAUCACUUGAGGUCAGGAGUUUGAGACCAGCCUGGCCAACAUGGCGAAAUCCCAUUUCUAUAAAAAAUACAAAAAUUAGCUGAGUGUAGUGGUGCAUGCCGUAAUCCCAGCUACUUGGGGGGCUGAGGCAUGAGAAUCACUUGAACCCAGAAGACAGAGGUUGCAGUGAGCUGAGAUCACGCCACUGCACCCCAGCCUAAAACUAUAAGCAAAGGAAGCAUUUACCAUCUUGCAACUCUUCAUUUUACUAAUCAGCCUCCAAUUCAUAUUAUUUUGACAUCAACGACUGAUGAAUUUUACUCAUCAAAUGGAACAGUAUUCUGCAUCCCAUUCUAGCUUCGGAAAAAUUUUCUGAGAUGAAAGAAUUACUACAUGAUGAUGUUCUUCUAAGAUUACUGUUUACAGUGCAAGUUGGGAUAUAUUCUCAAUUUCACUUUAUCCUCUUUACUUUAGAAAAAUCAUUUGCAAAAAUUCUUGCUAACAUUCAGUAAACUCGCAGUAAAGCACUCCAUUUGUGGGGCAACUCUUUUAUGUUGCCCACAGUAAAGUUUUCUGAAGAUAUUUCUUUUAUCACUAGAACACCUACAAAUUUCUUAUAGUCAGUAAGCAACUAGAACAAAGGGAAGAGUAUUCCUAGAACCACUUGUUUUGGAAGGCCCCCAACAUUGGCUUUCCCUUGUUCUUUCCUUCCUUGACUCCUUCUAUUUCCUUCACCUUUAGCUGUAUUCUCACCUUAUAAAUUUGUCUGUAGCCACAAAAGAGAUAGAGUAUGAUGGAAAAAUACCAAGGGUGGGCAUUUGGGCUGAGUCCCAGUGACCCUGUAUGAAUCACUUCCUUCCUGCUGCUAUUUCCUCAUUAAUAAAAUCAGGAUGUUGAAUUACUGAUAUCUGUCUUCUAAACCAGAUGACUACUAACUACAUCUUCCCUAAUAUGUAAGUUAACUGGUAUAGGUAAGCACUCUCAGUAAACUCUAAUUAACUUUACUCUUUGUUUACAUAAUAACUCUUUCAAGGUAGAGACAAUUCCUCUUUGUUAUUGCUUAAGAAUCAUGAAAUUUGCCAGUCUCCUUUUUUUAGGCAUUUCUGAAAUAUUCCUAUACUAUAGGUAAUAUUUUUUAAGAAAUCUUCUGGUGUAUUGCCCCUUUCUGGUAAGCCAGGUUCCUUUAAAUAUUCCCUUAUGUCAUUAAGACUAAGUCAAGAAGCCUAUUGCUGUAGGGAAUGAGACAUAAGCUCCAUCCAGAAUAAAUGCAUCCCCAGGCAAGGAAUCAUGGGAUUGUGUUAUAGGGGACAUUCCCACCACACAGAAAGGGAAAGUAGAAGCCUACCCUGAGAGGAAAGGGAAACGGAUUUUAAAGGAAGGGUGAUGAGCUGCCCAUGUUUCUUAGGGACUAUGUUUCCCACUCCCUAAGUCUUGACCAAGGACAGGUAUGUGAUAUGGUGAAGAGAUAGUUUCCCUUUAACCUAGGUAGCUGAGGGGGAAGUGCCAAGAAGGAGGCCUGUGCUAUUUGUCCCAUGUAUAACUGUGGGAAGACAUAACUUCAGGGGUCCCCUCUGUCUAAGCAGAGAGAAACAGAGUGCCCACUGACUGUCCUUCACCUCCUAGGUGGCACAGAAGUGAUGGGGGGAUUCCCCCAUGUUCUCAAUAGAGACAUGGAAGAUAGGUGAGAUAAGAGCCAGGGCCAUGGCAAAGGGAAGAGGGAUUCCAUGGCAAAAGUGCUAAGCCAGAUGGAAAUCAUAGUUGACCCUUAAGAACUACAACAAGAAAGGUUGGGAAUUCCUCCAGGCCCUGGCCAUAUGGAGAAUACAAACCAUAAGUUCCCAGCAGCAAAGUACACAAUGAGGACAGAAGCCAUCUCCUAGAGAGCACCAAGAUGAGUUUCACUUUCUAUGCACAUUCAGGAGGCCAGCAGGAUGCCCAGUAACCAAUACUAGGAAAACCUCUGCAUGGACCAAUGAGAACUUAGAAAACAACCAGAGGGCCUGCUUGCUAACCACCUCCCCCACCACUACCACAAGGACACGGACACGUGAGCUCUCCCCUAGACCAGACACACUCAUGAAGAAGGAGGAAUAAACACAAGAGAGGAGAGAAACAACCCUAAUAAUCAGAGUAACCUCAGAUUUGGCUGAAUAAUAUCCAAAGAAAGCUGAUCUUAGAUGAAAAAUACUAAAUUUGCAAAGACUGUUAAACAUUUUUAAAUUGAGGUAUAACUUACAUACAAUAAAACAUGCCCAUUUUAAGCCUACAUUUCAGAGUUUUGACAAAUGUAUCACUUAUGUAAUUACAACCACCACAAUCAAGACAAAGAACAUUUUUAUCAUCCCCAGACAUUCCCUCAUGCUCCCUUGCAGUCAAUCUUCACCAACCCUGGCACCAGAAUACCACUGAUUUGCUUUCUGUCAGUAUAAAUUAGUUGUCAAUAUAGAUUGCUUUCUGUCAAGAUAGAAUUCUGUCAAGAAUUUCAUAAAGAUAGAAUCAAACAAUAUGUAUUAUUUUGCUUCUGGCCUCUUUCACUCAAGAUAAUGUUUUGAAAUCAUUCAGUUUGUUGUGUGUAUCUACAGUUGAUUCUUUUUAUUGCUGAAUAUUACUAUGUGUUAUGGAUAUACUACAAUGAGUUUAUUCAUUUGUUUGUUGAUAAUUGUUACAGCUGUUUCCAGUUUUACAUUAUGAAUAAAACUUCUAUGAACAUGAGUGUA
rnacentral:lncRNA from 10 species